GACCUAGUUAAAGUCUCAUAACUAACUUAACUAGUUUUGUAAUGUUCUCUUUUUUCUGUUACAAAACAGCCUGUUCAGCAUUAUACCAUCCUCACACUCACUACACCUGUCAAUUUUCUCUCCGAGAUUCCUGUCAGACUGCCAUUUCACUCCCCAGCCUCUAUUAGACUGCCUGCUGCAUUGCAUAGUAAUGGCCUAAAAUCCCCAAAUGACGGAAACUUUAAAUGGCCAGAUGGAGAAAACAAGCUUCAUGAAAGAAAACCAGAACAUGUCCUGGAGAUUGCUUCCACCAGGAUGGAGGUUGUUCUUUGAAGAUCCCAUGGAGAAGCACAUCCAUUCCGAUGACUUGGGACCACCUGUGAACUCUCGCAGCCAGGGUAACAGAGAAUCUGCUGAGGUCCACAUAUGUGCCGGGAGAAUCUACUCCACAGUAUAAGCAUCACAUAUCAUCCUAAAUUGUCAAUUCCACCAAUAUAAACAAUUAAGAACACUAUUUUUAAAUAGAAAAAAUAUUACAGUUUUUAAGGUGUAUUUUAUAUUAAACCAUAUUAGGGAAGAUAUCAUGAGAGUCCCAGCAGGAAGUAGAUGUCACAUACUAAAGUAUUUAAUUAAACAAUUAACGAAGGGACUAUUUACAGAAAUGUACACAGAACAACAAAGGACAGUGAAGCACUCAGGCACUAGCGACAGGGGGGCACCAUGACCAAAUCCAGAGGAGUGAUUCUUUCUCACCCAUCUUUAAAUCUCUAGUCUCGCCCAGUAACUGUCACAUCACUGUCAUUAUGAUCAUCAUAAUAGCUGUGAUUUAAUGAAGGCUUCUCAUGUGCUGGCCACUAAGCUAAACUCUAUACACAUCAUUUCACAUGUUUUCAGCCACUGUAUAAUUUGGGAACUAUUGAGUAUAUUUUCCAAAAUGGACAGUGAAAUUCAGGAGUCAAAAAACGAAUAGACUGUCAUACAGCUAAUAUGUGCUGAAGCAGAAUUAAAAAUCGUGCCUGACUGACUCAAAAUACUGUGCUAUCCAAGUUACAGUAAGUGAAGCCCCAUUUUAAAUGUCAAGUAAAUUAUUUCUACUGUGUUUACUAUUAAAUUGUUACUACUCCAAAAACCAGUAGACCAGUAGUUUUCCAUUUAAUCCAGGGAAUAGUUAAUCAUAUAUAACUCUGUCAUUUAUCCUGGUAUUUUGCCAGAAAACUCUUUAUGUUUUGUCUCCCAAGCAGAACACAAACUCCUCAAGGGCAGAUAGAUCCCUAUGUCACACAGCUUUAUAUCUCUCAGAGACUCAGGUACUUUGCUUAUUUAUGUGUCUAUUCUUUCUAUGCUUAUUUCUGUAGUUCUCAGCGAGGCUACAAGCCUAGUUCUCACAGGGUUUUCAUUAUAAUUAGGUUCUAGAGCACCAAUUUCCAUGUCCCGAAUGUACAAUGAAACAUGUUUAG
rnacentral:lncRNA from 1 species